GGGGUUUAGAAUGUGUUUUAAGCUAUUAAAUGCAUCAAGAUGUUGAAAUAAUGGUAAUCUCCUUCGGAGUUCGGUAUUUUUAUGAUUUUACUUUUUGGAAUCUGCUUCCCGUUUUUUAUCUUUAGUGCAGUUUUUAUUAACAUUGUAUCACAUAUUUUACAGAUGUAGCAUCUAUAUGUAUAUAUAACAAGAAAGGUAGACGGGUCAACAUUCGGAAUCAACACAAAUAAAAAAGCAACAAGAUUAAAUAUGGAUAUAUAAUUUACUUUGUCU
rnacentral:lncRNA from 1 species